CCUACGGGAGGCAGCAGUGAGGAAUAUUGGUCAAUGGACGAGAGUCUGAACCAGCCAAGCCGCGUGAAGGAUGACUGCCCUCUGGGUUGUAAACUUCUUUUAUAUGGGAGUAAAAUGUUCCUCGCGUGGGAUUUUGUAUGUACCUUAUGCGUAAGGAUCGGCUAACUCCGUGCCAGCAGCCGCGGUAAUACGGAGGAUCUGAGCGUUAUCCGGAUUUAUUGGGUUUAAAGGGAGCGUAGGUGGAGUGUUAAGUCAGUUGUGAAAGCUUGCGGCUCAACCGUAGAAUUGCAGUUGAAACUGGCAGUCUUGAGUACUGGAGAGGUGGGCGGAAUUCGUGGUGUAGCGGUGAAAUGCGUAGAUAUCAGGAAGAACACCGGUUGCGAAGGCGGCUCACUGGACUGCAACUGACGUUGAGGCGCGAAAGCGUGGGGAGCAAACAGGAUUAGAUACCCGGGUAGUC
rnacentral:rRNA from 1 species